GGGGUUGUGGCUCAGUGGUAGAGCACUUGCAUAGCAUGUGCAGGACACUGUUCAAUUCUCAGCACCA
rnacentral:tRNA from 1 species